ACCGCCUCAGUCUUUUCGCCGACAUUGCCCCUCACGCGCAUGUCAGGAGGAAGUCAGCUCGUCUGCUUAACGUCAGAAUGCAACACAUCGCACGCGGUUUGAUCCGCAGCGGCGACGCGGUCUCUUCAGAGCAGACGCCGUUUGGACACCUGUGUGAGCCGGAUGGAGCCGGAUAGAGGUGGAUGAGUCUGCAGCUCAUCAGUCGCUGCCAUGGCAGUAUGACUACUUGACAAUGGGUCCGAGAGAGGAACCACAGAUAGAGGGCAGCUCCCAUCUGCAUCGAGUCCUGUGUGUAUGAGAUUUUUUUCUCCUUUAUCCAGUCCAUGAGGCUUCGGGGGAUGAAGUCAGAAGAUGGUGCAGAUGCAUUUGAGCAUACUCUGAAUUAAUACUUGGUGAAUACAGGUAAACACACCAGGUGUAGACACCUUAUUUGGACAAACUACUUUUCUAUUCCCACUGAUGCCCAACACACUGCAAUGCUCGUAAAUGUUGGACCUAUACAUUUUCCUGCAGCGUUGAUCUUUCACAACUUCUCAACCACUAAGUGCAAUGUGAAUCUUUUUUUUGUUAUUAAACCAUUGAACCCCUGAA